UACGUAGGGUGCGAGCGUUAAUCGGAAUUACUGGGCGUAAAGCGUGCGCAGGCGGUUGUGCAAGACAGAUGUGAAAUCCCCGGGCUUAACCUGGGAAUUGCAUUUGUGACUGCACGGCUAGAGUGCGUCAGAGGGGGGUAGAAUUCCACGUGUAGCAGUGAAAUGCGUAGAUAUGUGGAGGAAUACCGAUGGCGAAGGCAGCGCCCUGGGAUGACACUGACGCUCAUGCACGAAAGCGUGGGGAGCAAACAGG
rnacentral:rRNA from 1 species